CCUACGGGGGGCUGCAGUGGGGAAUUUUGGACAAUGGGGGCAACCCUGAUCCAGCCAUUCCGCGUGAGUGAAGAAGGCCUUCGGGUUGUAAAGCUCUUUCGGCAGGAACGAAACGGCGGGCUCUAACAUAGCCUGUCAAUGACGGUACCUGAAGAAGAAGCACCGGCUAACUACGUGCCAGCAGCCGCGGUAAUACGUAGGGUGCGAGCGGGAAUCGGAGUUAGUGGGGGUAACGCGUGAGGAGGGGGCUGAAAUCCCCGGGCUUAACCUGGGAACUGCGCUUGUGACUGCAAGGCUCGAGUGCGGCAGAGGGGGGUGGAAUUCCACGUGUAGCAGUGAAAUGCGUAGAGAUGUGGAGGAACACCGAUGGCGAAGGCAGCCCCCUGGGUCGACACUGACGCUCAUGCACGAAAGCGUGGGUAGCAAACAGGAUUAGAUACCCGAGUAGUC
rnacentral:rRNA from 1 species